rnacentral:lncRNA from 1 species
GGAGAACCCGAGCUGACUGCGCAGCUUAAUAACAGAGGAGAGGGAGAACCGGAGCUGGCUGCGCAGCUUAACAACGGAGGAGAGGGAGAACCGGAGCUGGCUGCGCAGCUUAAUAACGGAGGAGAGGGAGAACCGGAGCUGGCUGCGCAGCUUAAUAACGGAGGAGAUGUCUUCGUGCCGAACCCUGCUUUGUUCCCGAGCUGUGAAUCAGCGCAGUUGUGAACCCCUAACCACGAACUUGAUGGACAUUGAGCAAAUCGUCGACGACUUGGAUGACCGGUUGGCGUUUCCAGUUGAUAAUUCCCUUAAGCAAUCAAGCUGUACUCGAUAUAGUGGUAUUAACAUGCCCUUGCAAAAAAUCAAACAAAAGCACAGGAAGUCAUAAGCAAAGUAAGCGAAUGAAAUUCGGGGACUGCUCUGGUCAUGACAUGAAUCAAGAAAAUCUCAAAUGAAAGUGAAAAUCUCCCUGUCAAAUUGGAGAAAAU